GGUGGAGGCUUUGCGGAGAUCGCGACGCCCGCGUGCGCAUGCUCCCGAUUGCGGGACCGGUGAUGGUAAGAUUAGACCUGUCAGGGCAUAUGGGCGGAAACGAAAAGAUCAUUAAAUGCCUUAGUGUAUGCUUAUACUUCCUGCCUAUAGGUGACUGCAUAGUUACGUUUCACUUUUCUUCUAAAGUCGUAUUUUUUUUUUUAGACCUAACUGCAAUGGUGGACACGAAAAGGCCAUUGAGCUGGAUUGUCCUUGUGUGCUUAUUCUUCAUGUGUAUAGGUGACUGGAAUAAGCAUGCAAAAUGUUCUACUAAUUGGGGAGAAUCUUGGUGGCUGUGCAUCUAUUUCUGGAUCAUUGCUUGGGGAGAAUACUGGCUGUCAAUGUGUUUGUUGUCAAGAAAUUGAUAUUUUGGAGAAAACCCAUAAGGCGUAUUGUAUUUAUUGAUGUAUUAGGAAGUUUUUCUGCACUUGGAGUUUUGAUUGCAAUUUGACAAAUGUCUGGAUUGGUAUUCAUUUGAA